rnacentral:lncRNA from 1 species
GAUUUUUGGGCUGCCCGCCCCUCCCUUCCCCAGUUUCAGAAAGAGUGAUUCAAAAGAUGUACUCGAUCUGCCUCCCACUCCACCAAUUUCUUCGUUCUACAUCCCGCCGCGAUUCGCUUCGCCGCGCCGGACACCGCCGAGAUCGACACAGUUCGCCGCCUUGCCAGGGUAAGUAUUCAAUUAGGAAAGGUAAUUAUUGACUAUGAUUAGUGCUCAAUUUUAGAAUUAUGAAAAUUUGGAAAGAUUUACCAAUCGAUCAAUAAUCUGCCAAUUUUUAGGGUUUAGAUUUAACAAUGAAAAAUUAUUAUGUUAGGAAAGAUUACAUUUCAUUGUGAUUAGUACUAAAUUUUAGAAAUAUGAAAAUGAAAAUUUGGAAAGAUUUACCUAUCGAUUAAUAAUCAGCAAAUUCUUAGGGCUUAGGUUUAACAAUGGAAACUUUAUAACCUACAUUUUAGCUAUAAAUUCAUUAGUUUGAAUGAGAAAUUUUAUUGACGCAUUGAGUUUUACAGCAACGCAUUCUACUGCCUUCUUGCUUAUUGCUCCUUUUGCUUAUUUCUCAAGGUAUGCAUUAUAUCAAUUUUAUUUUAUUACUAUUUUUUUUAACUCAAUUAUCAGAAUAUAUGUAUGAUGAACAAUUUGGCAAAUUAAACUGUAUUUGAGAUUUGAAUUUUGAAUAGUAGUAUUUGAGCUAUAAAUUAUGCCGCGAUUAUAGGCCGUCCUUGAGCCCGGAAACCAUUCGACGACACGCAGUCGUGCCAUCGGCUCGGGUCCAGCGAACUACCGCUGUGCUCCAAAACUCGGCGAGGGCCGUCGUUCAACCUUGCCUCUCCUUCCUCAAGACUCGCCACUGUCCCUGUGCCGUCGUCGGAGACUCCUCUGUCUCGAGGAUUAGGAACAAGGCAGCCACCCGGGCUCUCAUAAGUGAAAGAGAGUCUCACACAAACAAGUAAACUAAUAAUUGUUUACUGCCUAUGUGUAGUAUGUUGGGAACAAGCUUAGAAAUUGAUUGAGUUCCACAUUUAUUACUUCCGUCUAUUGAUCAUUGCUUCUAGUAGGGGUAGUUUCGGAACCCAUGGUAUUCUGAUCUGGUGUUUUUCGAAAUGAUGAGGAACUAUAUGUUUGGUUUUGGUUGAAUUUGCGGAUCUGGUAGGGGUAGUUUCGGAACCCAUGGUUGAAUUUUAUUUGUUUAUGUUAUAGCUGACUUUUCUUCCCGCACCAGCUAUGUCGAUGUAUGCUUACUGCAGAAUAUGUGGUGGUUUAUUGUUUUCUUAGUCACUUAAGUUCUGCUGCCGUUUUGCAAAUGUUUUAGAUAUGCUCUUAAUUAGAUCUGUAUGUUGUGUGUCAUACAGUUAUGUGCUAUUUCUGGCAACCAAAGACGAACCGCUUGAUUAAGAACUCGAUGUUUCAAAUUUUCUGCAUUUGGCAGCUUCUCUGGUAGUCUCAUGAUAAUAGUGUUGGAAAUAUGGUUUUAAGCCAUAUCUGAAAAUUAUUAUUUAAUUAAAUAUUUAUUAUUUAAUUAAAAUAAUUAUUGGAUGUUAAUCUACAUCUCGAGUAGAUCAACGUGAUAUACUUGAAGUCUCAAAACCGAUUUCCGAUGAGUGAGAUAUUGUAUGUCAAAGUUUGGAUGUUGAAGAGGGAAAAUCAGUUUCAACUUCUGCGUUCAACGAUUGCGGCCACCUACCGCAGCCGCCGGAGUUGACUGCCGUUCCGUUCACACCGGCCGUUCACACCGGCCAUUCACACCGGCCGUUCACACUAGGUUUAACACCUAUAAAUACGGGUAUGUUGUGAACUUCAUAACUCACAAAUAACACUCACAACUCACAACAUAUUCUGCAUUCCACCUCAACCUCUAGCUCAGUUUUCGAUCCUUAUUCAGUUCGCCGGAGCUCGUCGGAUUGUGGUGCUACAUCCGACGAGACGAAGUCGUUUUACCUUUGGGGAAGAUACGCCAAACCGAAGAGCACUACCGGAGCGAUAAUCUUCUUGCGGGAAGAGAUUCAUCUCGACUCGACUUAUUUUAUACGUAUAAUUUAUUUAUACAAUAUAUUUCAGUUGUAUACAAUUAUUUGAGUUGUAAUUUCUCAAAUUAUUUUCUUUGUAAUAUUUUCAAUUAUUUUGAGUUGUAUUAUCUCAAAAUAUUCAUUUUGUAAUAUCUCGAUCGUGUACCCGGUUCUAACAAAUAGUAAUGUUUCUACUUGGUAAGAAAAAUAGAUUAUAUUUUCACUAUCUUUUUCACAGAUUCUUGUAAAAGCCGUCCCAAUUAAGUAAGGUCACAAGUUGAAUUUGUAUGGCCAAUAACACCUGGAAUUUGUCAUUACAAUGAAGGGCCAAGCCGGGGUUCACUUGAUUGGCCAUGAAGGAGAAGGAUUUUUGUUUUAUUAUCUUGAAAAACUGGGUAGGUGUCGAGCUUCCUUUCGAUGCCCCCACUCUCCCUCACUAAUUUGUUAGUAGAUAAAAUUGUUAGUAGAUUUCUGUUCUGUGCUCACCCCCUCCUCUCUUAGCCCCAACCACUUGGACUGAAUUUUGUAUGAUAAACUGAUACUCUUAUCCUUUGAGUUUUUUUGGCUUAUGGUAGUAGAGUGAAGCUUCUCUACUUUGUAGUGGGCCAUAUAUAUUAAGUGUUGGGAUUAUUUCUGCAG